GCCGGCAGCUAGCUCUCUGCAAUUCUCACAUGGUCACCCACUGAAGUCAUACAGGGCUGUACCUGGUCAGUACUGGGAUGUGAGACCACAUGGGAAAGCUAGGAUGCUGCCAGAA
rnacentral:rRNA from 1 species